AUGUGUGUACCAAAGGAAAGGGGUGGUAUGGGUUUCCGGGACAUUCAUAGUUUUAACAUGGCCAUGUUAGCCAAACAAUGUUGGAGACUCAUUGAGAAUUAUGACUCGCUUUGUGCAAGAGUUUUAAGGGCCAGAUACUAUCCUUCUGGGGAUAUUUUGAACUGUGAAUUGAAGAAGGGCUCAUCCUUUGUGUGGCAAAGUAUUUGGGCAGGAAUACAAACGUUCAAAGGAUGCAUUUGGAGAGUUGAAGAUGGUGCGAAGGUAGAUAUAUGGAGUGACUGUUGGAUUCCCAGUAGUGCAUCAAGGAAAAAUGUUACUGUCCGCGGGAACCAACUGCUCACUAAGGUCAGUGACCUCAUCGACCCCUCCUCAGGCGAGUGGGAUGAACAACUAAUAAGGUACACUUUCUGGCCUACAGAUGCUGACCGGAUAUUGCAAAUUCCAUUGUUUCGGCAACAUACAGAGGAUUAUAUAGCAUGGCACUUAAAUAAGAACGACACUUUCUCGGUUUGCUCGGCGUAUUACAAACAGUGGGAAGAGACUUAUGCCCAGAAAGAUUUGAUGGGGAACUACCGAUCUGGUUCUAGACCACAUCCAGUAUGGAAGAAGGUUUGGAAGCUCAAACUGCCAGGAAAGAUUAAGAUCUUCAUUUGGAGGUGCUUACACAAUGUGCUACCAUGCUUCAGCGUUCUAACUAAUCGGCAUGUUGGUACUAACUCUCAAUGCCCUGUCUGCAAGAUGGACGCGGAAGAUAUACGCCAUGUACUGUUCUCAUGCCCACGUGCUCUAGCUAUUUGGGAAGCCUUGGGCGUUGGCAAUAUUAUC
rnacentral:rRNA from 1 species